UAAAAGUGAGAAAACAAAGGAAUUCUUUUUCUUUUUGGACACCCGUCAUCAGCAGUGUUCUCUUUGGGCUGCUGGCAUCUGGGCCCAGUUGCUGGGUUACAGGCAAAUAUAAUCAAAACAAACACUAAAAGGACAACUUCUGAUCACAAACUUGUUGUGGAGGAGAAGAAGCCCUUAAUGAGGCCAUUAGAGCUUUAGACCUUUCUCCAACUUCCUGUUGAACGGCACCAGGAAUUUAACCUGUUUCCAGUCACUCUCUGUUAGUAGAAUUUACCACCCUACCCCCUCCUCUGAGAAUUGCCACCAGACCACCAGGGAUCAAAUGCGAUUUUGAAUAAGCCUCUUGUUCAAACUCUAUGGAUCCAGGUUUUUCAUCUGUAAAGUGGAAGUAAUGACGCUGAUAUCUCCCAGUUGUUGUUAUGAGAAGGUAUAUUUCUUCAAAGUUAUCCAGACACUGGCAACUUUUACGGAGGAAAGAAUUUCCAAAGGGAAGCCUUGUAACCUGAAAUAACCUUUCACAAGUGACGGUUGCUUCAUCAAAGAUCAGCUGUUGACCAACUUGGACAAGGCUAGGCUUUGCAAAGUCCCCACCACCAGUGAAGUCAUCCAGAGUCAGAAGGUCUAAAGAUACUGCGUAAGGGUGCUGCUUAAGCAUUUGUGGUUGCCGUUGCGUUCUGCCCAGUCCCAGCUGUUAGGCAGUAAUGAAGUGGCUAAAGUAUGGUUAAAGGCAGUGGUGGUUUCAGGACACUUUGAUCAUCUGUGGAAAUGUCUUCAAUUUGUUCUUUGGAGCCAAAGAUUAUUUUUAACAUAAGAAUGAACUAAUUAAGUGGUUAAAUUCAGAAUAAAUGACACAGAUUCAUAUAGGUUUUCAGAGAAUACUCUGGGAAAUAUUCUGUCACUUUGCUGAAAUUGGGAUAUUCA